GCAUAUCAAUAAGCGGAGGAAAAGAAACCAACAGGGAUUGCCCUAGUAACGGCGAGUGAAGCGGCAACAGCUCAAAUUUGAAAGCUAGCCUUCGGGUUCGCAUUGUAAUUUGUAGAGGAUGAUUUGGGGAAGCCGCCUGUCUAAGUUCCUUGGAACAGGACGUCAUAGAGGGUGAGAAUCCCGUAUGUGACAGGAAAUGGCACCCUAUGUAAAUCUCCUUCGACGAGUCGAGUUGUUUGGGAAUGCAGCUCUAAAUGGGAGGUAAAUUUCUUCUAAAGCUAAAUAUUGGCGAGAGACCGAUAGCGCACAAGUAGAGUGAUCGAAAGAUGAAAAGCACUUUGGAAAGAGAGUUAAAAAGCACGUGAAAUUGUUGAAAGGGAAGCGCUUGCAAUCAGACUUGUUUAAACUGUUCGGCCGGUCUUCUGACCGGUUUACUCAGUUUGGACAGGCCAGCAUCAGUUUCGGCGGCCGGAUAAAGGCUCUGGGAAUGUGGCCUCCACUUCGGUGGAGGUGUUAUAGCCCGGGGUGUAAUACGGCCAGCCGGGACUGAGGUCCGCGCUUCGGCUAGGAUGCUGGCGUAAUGGUUGUAAGCGACCCGUCUUGAAACACGGACC
rnacentral:rRNA from 1 species